GCAAUUAUGGUGACGUGUACUAGCGUGCGCAGGCUCUGCACAGUGCAGAGACGCAACGCAGACGAUGCCCAGGCUGCCCUGAAGAGGGCGCUGCUGCUCUGUCUGAUGAUAUUCUCUUCACAAUAAGCAUUCUGUCUGAGUGGACAGCGGUAACUCCGAGGUUCAGCAUCACUGGACAGCUGAGGUCUCAGAGAAUCCAACUCUGUGGAGAAUCCCUGGACAUAAAUCCAGUAAAGCUUAACCAGAAGUAAGACGUCUAGAGGCCUGGAAGCAUAGAAUCAUCCACAUUAGGAUGGAUGGAAGGAGCGAGGACACUUAUCACAGCAUAUCAAGCUACCCUGGCUCAUCAUCCUGAUUGUGCUGCCAAGACAGAGAAGAGAGGAAGGUGAACACAAGUUUGCAACUAUACUGGCAAUAACUGGGAACACGGGCUGGGAACCCUGUGAGGUGAGAUGGAAGACGUGCAUGGUGAGACAUUGGAAUACACAUUUUUAAUAUUUUAUAAUAUAUACAUUUUUAAAUAUUAAAACAUACAAUCAUACAUAC